AGUGAACGCUGGCGGUAGGCCUAACACAUGCAAGUCGAACGGCAGCACAGUAAGAGCUUGCUCUUACGGGUGGCGAGUGGCGGAUGGGUGAGGAAUACAUCGGAAUCUACUUUUUCGUGGGGGCUAACGUAGGGAAACUUACGCUAAUACCGCAUACGACCUACGGGUGAAAGCAGGGGAUCUUCGGACCUUGCGCGAUUGAAUGAGCCGAUGUCGGAUUAGCUAGUUGGCGGGGUAAAGGCCCACCAAGGCGACGAUCCGUAGCUGGUCUGAGAGGAUGAUCAGCCACACUGGAACUGAGACACGGUCCAGACUCCUACGGGAGGCAGCAGUGGGGAAUAUUGGACAAUGGGCGCAAGCCUGAUCCAGCCAUGCCGCGUGGGUGAAGAAGGCCUUCGGGUUGUAAGGCCCUUUUGUUGGGAAAGAAAAGCAGCAGGUUAAUACCCCGCUGUUCUGACGGUACCCAAAGAAUAAGCACCGGCUAACUUCGUG
rnacentral:rRNA from 1 species